UGGGUUCUGGAUAAAACAAGGAGACCUUGGUCGAAACGAGCUAUAUUUGCAGACUUAGAAAGGAGGAUUGCCUGUGUUGGAAAGAUAUAAUUUUCUAUUGCUAAUACAAACGGGAACGAAAUGGCUGAAACACUAGCAACUGCUGGUAUGAGUAGGCCAUGUUUGUUUAAGGCUUGGUGGUGAGUUGGGUUUAGUUUUCCUUAGAAUGCUUGAGAAUUGGGGAGUGUUUUGGUAUGAGUCUAGAGGGUAUUUCAUUGUUUGGGUGGUCUAUCAUUGUUUGGUUGUGGUGUCUGUUGAUCAGAGAGAGAUUUUUUGGAGGGGAUUUC
rnacentral:lncRNA from 1 species